AAAUCUGUUUCUUAUGCUCUUUUCCGUCAUUAUUUGCCCCAGUGUUGCUGUUGUGAUCAUAAUAAAGUUCAGGAAUGUUUAUUUCUUGUUGAUCUCUUUCUUACUCUCUGUUUUGUUAUGAUCCAUCCAUAGAUGAUGAUGAAUUCUGUUAGUUAUGCUCUUUUGUUUCCUGUUUUUGUCUCAUUAUGCUCUGCAGUGAAAAUCUAGCAUAGUUUACGUUCCAACUGAAUUCUGUUGCAUGUCCUCCGUCCCUGAAAAGGCAUAAAAGUAUUGUGCAGAUAGCAACGAUGGCCACAUGUCCGGUUCGCACGUUUUGGAGGCGUGUGUUGGCUAGGGCUUGAGCCGGACCACAAGGAAAUGAUUUAUUUUUAAAUUCGAUUUAAGGACAUUUUUUUAUUUGAU
rnacentral:misc_RNA from 1 species